rnacentral:rRNA from 1 species
CCUACGGGAGGCAGCAGUGAGGAAUAUUUGUCAAUGGGCUUACGCCUGAACCAGCCAAGUCGCGUGAGGGAAGACUGCCCUAUGGGUUGUAAACCUCUUUUGUCAGGGAGCAACGCCGGCUACGUGUAGCCUGACUGAUAGUCCCUGACGAAAAAGCAUCGGCUAACUCCGAGCCAGCAGCCGCGGUGAUACGGAGGAUGCGAGGGUUAUCCGGAUUUAUUGGGUUUAAGGGGUGCCUAGGCGGAAUGCCAAGUCAGCGGUAAAGUCGCGGGGCUAAACGGCGCCCUGCCGUUGAAACUGGCGGUCUUGAGGGUGGGAGAGGUGGGCGGAAUGCGAGGUGUAGCGGUGAAAUGCGUAGAGAUCAGGAAGAACACCUGUUGCGAAGGCAGCAUACUGG